GAUGAACGCUGGCGGCGUGCCUAAUACAUGCAAGUCGAGCGAACGGACGAGAAGCUUGCUUCUCUGAUGUUAGCGGCGGACGGGUGAGUAACACGUGGAUAACCUACCUAUAAGACUGGGAUAACUUCGGGAAACCGGUGCUAAUACCGGAUAAUAUUUUGAACCGCAUGGUUCAAAAGUGAAAGACGGUCCUGCUGUCACUUAUAGAUGGAUCCGCGCUGCAUUAGCUAGUUGGUAAGGUAACGGCUUACCAAGGCAACGAUGCAUAGCCGACCUGAGAGGGUGAUCGGCCACACUGGAACUGAGACACGGUCCAGACUCCUACGGGAGGCAGCAGUAGGGAAUCUUCCGCAAUGGGCGAAAGCCUGACGGAGCAACGCCGCGUGAGUGAUGAAGGUCUUCGGAUCGUAAAACUCUGUUAUUAGGGAAGAACAUAUGUGUAAGUAACUGUGCACAUCUUGACGGUACCUAAUCAGAAAGCCACGGCUAACUACGUG
rnacentral:rRNA from 1 species